rfam:Brachypodium distachyon strain Bd21 chromosome 4, whole genome shotgun sequence.
AAUCUACUCCCUCCGUCCAACAAAAGAUGUUUCAAGUUUGUCAAAAUUUCGAUGUAUCUAGACAUGACUUAGUGUAUAGAUGCAUUCAAAUUUUGUCAAAUUUGAGACACCCUUUGUUGGACGGAGGGAGUAUUAU